UGGGGGAUAUUGGACAAUGGGGGGAACCCUGAUCCAGCGACGCCGCGUGAGUGAAGAAGUAUUUCGGUAUGUAAAGCUCUAUCAGCAGGGAAGAAAGAAAUGACGGUACCUGAGUAAGAAGCCCCGGCUAACUACGUGCCAGCAGCCGCGGUAAUACGUAGGGGGCAAGCGUUAUCCGGAAUUACUGGGUGUAAAGGGAGCGUAGACGGUUAAGCAAGUCUGGAGUGAAAGGCGGGGGCCCAACCCCCGGACUGCUCUGGAAACUGUGUAACUGGAGUGCAGGAGAGGUAAGCGGAAUUCCUA
rnacentral:rRNA from 1 species